CGAAGGGGCUAGCGUUGUUCGGAAUGACUGGGCGUAAAGGGCGCGUAGGCGGCCGAGUAAGUCAGGCGUGAAAGCCCCGGGCUCAACCUGGGAACGGCGCUUGAUACUGUUUGGCUUGAGGACGGGAGAGGAUGGUGGAAUUCCCAGUGUAGAGGUGAAAUUCGUAGAUAUUGGGAAGAACACCGGUGGCGAAGGCGGCCAUCUGGACCGUUUCUGACGCUGAGGCGCGAAAGCGUGGGGAGCAAACAGGAUUAGAUACCCUGGUAGUCCACGCUGUAAACGAUGUGUGCUAGACGUUGGGGGGUUAGGCCUCCGGUGUCGCAGCCAACGCGUUAAGCACACCGCCUGGGGAGUACGGCCGCAAGGUUA
rnacentral:rRNA from 1 species